UAGGGAAUCUUCCACAAUGGACGCAAGUCUGAUGGAGCAACGCCGCGUGAGUGAAGAAGGUUUUCGGAUCGUAAAGCUCUGUUGUUGGUGAAGAAGGAUAGAGGCAGUAACUGGUCUUUAUUUGACGGUAAUCAACCAGAAAGUCACGGCUAACUACGUGCCAGCAGCCGCUGUAAUACGUAGGUGGCAAGCGUUGUCCGGAUUUAUUGGGCGUAAAGCGAGCGCAGGCGGAAUGAUAAGUCUGAUGUGAAAGCCCACGGCUCAACCGUGGAACUGCAUCGGAAACUGUCAUUCUUGAGUGCAGAAGAGGAGAGUGGAAUUCCAUGUGUAGCGGUGGAAUGCGUAGAUAUAUGGAAGAACACCAGUGGCGAAGGCGGCUCUCUGGUCUGCAACUGACGCUGAGGCUCGAAAGCAUGGGUAGCGAACAGG
rnacentral:rRNA from 1 species